GAUGAACGCUAGCUACAGGCUUAACACAUGCAAGUCGAGGGGAAACGACAUCGAAAGCUUGCUUUUGAUGGGCGUCGACCGGCGCACGGGUGAGUAACGCGUAUCCAACCUGCCCAUCACUUGGGAAUAACCUUGCGAAAGUAAGACUAAUACCCAAUAAUAUCCCACGAAGGCAUCGGAAUGGGAUUAAAGAUUUAUCGGUGAUGGAUGGGGAUGCGUCUGAUUAGCUUGUUGGCGGGGUAACGGCCCACCAAGGCAACGAUCAGUAGGGGUUCUGAGAGGAAGGUCCCCCACAUUGGAACUGAGACACGGUCCAAACUCCUACGGGAGGCAGCAGUGAGGAAUAUUGGUCAAUGGGCGAGAGCCUGAACCAGCCAAGUAGCGUGCAGGAAGACGGCCCUAUGAGUUGUAAACUGCUUUUAUAAGGGAAUAAAGUGGGUCACGUGUGACUUUUUGCAUGUACCUUAUGAAUAAGGACCGGCUAAUUCCGUG
rnacentral:rRNA from 1 species